GAUGAACGCUGGCGGCGUGCCUAAUACAUGCAAGUCGAGCGAACAGACGAGGAGCUUGCUCCUCUGACGUUAGCGGCGGGCGGGUGAGUAACACGUGGAUAAGCUACUUAUAAGACGGGGAGAAUUUCGGGAAACCGGAGAUAAUACCGUAUAAUAUAUUGAACCGCAGGGUUCAAUAGUGAAAGACGGCUUUGCUGUUACUUAUAGCUGGAUCCGUGUCGCAUUAGUGAGUUGGUAAGGUAACGGCUUACCAAGGCGACGAUGCGUAGCCGAGCUGAGAGGGUGAUCGGCCACACUGGAACUGAGACACGGUCCAGACUCCUACGGGAGGCAGCAGUAGGGAAUCUUCCGCAAUGGGCGAAAGCCUGACGGAGCAACCCCGCGUGAGUGAUGAAGGUCUUCGGAUCGUAAAACCCUUUUAUUAGGGAAGAAAAAAUGUAGAAUUAACCAUGCCCGUCUUGACGGUACCUAAUCAAAAAGCCCCGGCUAACUACGUG
rnacentral:rRNA from 1 species